CUGCUGCCUCCCGUAGGAGUCUGGGCCGUGCCUCAGUCCCAAUGUGGCCGUCCGCCCUCUCAGGCCGGCUACUGAUCGUCGCCUUGGUGGGCCGUUACCCCGCCAACUGGCUAAUCAGACGCGGAUCCAUCGUAUACCGCCGGAGCUUUUCACACUGUCCCAUGCGGGACCGUGCGCUUAUGCGGUAUUAGCACCUGUUUCCAGGUGUUAUCCCCCUGUAUACGGCAGGUUAUCCACGCGUUACUCACCCGUCCGCCAA
rnacentral:rRNA from 1 species